CCAGGCUGUCUCCACCCGAGACUCAGUGAAAUUGAACUCGCUGUGAAGAUGCAGUGUACCCGCGGCAAGACGGAAAGACCCCGUGAACCUUUACUAUAGCUUGACACUGAACAUUGAGCCUUGAUGUGUAGGAUAGGUGGGAGGCUUUGAAGCGUGGACGCCAGUCUGCGUGGAGCCGACCUUGAAAUACCACCCUUUAAUGUUUGAUGUUCUAACGUGGACCCGUUACCCGGGUUGCGGACAGUGUCUGGUGGGUAGUUUGACUGGGGCGGUCUCCUCCUAAAGAGUAACGGAGGAGCACGAAGGUUGGCUAAUCCUGGUCGGACAUCAGGAGGUUAGUGCAAUGGCAUAAGCCAGCUUGACUGCGAGCGUGACGGCGCGAGCAGGUGCGAAAGCAGGUCAUAGUGAUCCGGUGGUUCUGAAUGGAAGGGCCAUCGCUCAACGGAUAAAAGGUACUCCGGGGAUAACAGGCUGAUACCGCCCAAGAGUUCAUAUCGACGGCGGUGUUUGGCACCUCGAUGUCGGCUCAUCACAUCCUGGGGCUGAAGUAGGUCCCAAGGGUAUGGCUGUUCGCCAUUUAAAGUGGUACGCGAGCUGGGUUUAGAACGUCGUGAGACAGUUCGGUCCCUAUCUGCCGUGGGCGCUGGAGAACUGAGGGGGGCUGCUCCUAGUACGAGAGGACCGGAGUGGACGCAUCACUGGUGUUCGGGUUGUCAUGCCAAUGGCACUGCCCGGUAGCUAAAUGCGGAAGAGAUAAGUGCUGAAAGCAUCUAAGCACGAAACUUGCCCCGA
rnacentral:rRNA from 1 species